AAUUGUCGACUGUACCCACCUGGUGACUAACUGUGAGCUUGCAACCUAGUUGCCUAUUUUUAGGGACUUACAUGGUUGACUGUGGGUGUAUACCGUGGUACCCACUGAUUAUGGACCCAAACCUGGGUGAUCUAUCCUUGACUAGGAUGAAGAUUGGGUGAAACUAAGUGGAGGUCCGAACCGACUGAUGUUGAAAAAUUAGCGGAUGAGUUGUGGUUAGGGUUGAAAUUCCACUCAAACCUAGAGCUAGCUAGUUCUCCCUAAAAUGCGUUGAGGUGCAACAGUUUACUAGACCAUCUAGGGGUAAAUCAUUGUUUUGGUAUGGGUCGCGAGAGAGGUACUAAAUUGUGACAAAUUUUGAAUACUAGAUUACCCUAAUAAAAGGGGUAAAGGUCAACCAAUGAGACGAUGGGGGAUAAGCUUCAUCGUCAAGAGGGGAAAAACCCAGAUUACCAACUAAGGCCCUCAAAUGACCGCUCAGUGAUGAAGGAAGUACGAGUGCAAAGACUGACAAGAGGUUUUCAUAGAAGCAAUCAAUCUUGAAAUAGUGUGUAAUAUCUCAUUGAUCGAGCGAUCUUGUAUCAAAGAUGAACGAGACUAAGCGAUAUGAUGAAGCUAUGGGAUUUAAAAAUACAUCGGUAGGGGAGCGUUCCCCUCAGAGGAAAGCACUAGUGCGAGCAGGUGUGGAUGAAGAAGAAGUGAGAAUGUCAUCUUGAGUAACGCAAAUUUUGGUGAAAAUCCAAUGCCCCGGAAACCUAAGGGUUCCUCCAUAAGGUUCGUCCAAGGAGGGUGAGUCAGGGCCUAAGAUCAGGCUGAAAGUCGUAGUCGAUGGAUAACACGUGAAUAUUCCUGUACUACCCCUUGUUGGUUCCAAUGGAUGGAGGAGGCUAGGUUAUCCAAAAUAUGGUUAUCGGUUUAAGGAUGCAAGGUGACCCUCCUUUUUUCAGGGUAAGAAGGGGUAGAGAAAAUUCCUCGAGCCAAUUUCCGAGUACCAAGCACUACAUCGCUGAAGUAACCCAUGCCAUACUACCAGGAAAAGUUCGAAUGACCUUUAUCAAUGUGAUACCGCGAAGUUUAAAAAAAAACUAAGACUUAUUAUUAU
rnacentral:ncRNA from 1 species